UACGGAGGGAGCUAGCGUUGUUCGGAAUUACUGGGCGUAAAGCGCACGUAGGCGGCUUUGCAAGUCAGGGGUGAAAUCCUGGAGCUCAACUCCAGAACUGCCUUUGAUACUGGAAAGCUUGAGUUCGGGAGAGGUGAGUGGAACUGCGAGUGUAGAGGUGAAAUUCGUAGAUAUUCGCAAGAACACCAGUGGCGAAGGCGGCUCACUGGCCCGAUACUGACGCUGAGGUGCGAAAGCGUGGGGAGCAAACAGG
rnacentral:rRNA from 1 species